UGCCGGGCUCCCCGCCUCUCCCCCUGCGCUCGCGGGGGGGCGCCGCGGCCCCUCUCCUCUCCAACGCCCCUGCGGGGAGGCAGCCCGGAGAGCAGGAGGAGGAGGAGGAGGCGAUGGUGAAAAAGACAUCUUGUUGUCCCAGAGGCAGGUUGCCGACCUAGGGCAUUUAUCUCUGGGGGGACAGAAUGCACCCCAGGAAAUCCAGGUGUGUUUGGAAUAACACGGCACUUAAAAUAACAAGAAACGUUUUUACAAAUAACCAAAAAGCAGCGUUAAAAGCUAAAAAUUAUUUUCUGAUUUUUUUAAACGCUGAGCGUACGUUUUCCGUGAUCUCACGAGGGAUCCCUCGGAGCUGCUGAAGAAGCGGCGAUGUUGUAGGACCCUGCGGCAAAGGUUCACACCAAACUCAACACUGGACGCCCCUCGUGGGCACAGAAGAUGCCGAUAUUAGGGCUCCCCUGCAGGUCCCCUACCCAGGAACGAAACAAGGCACGUUGGUUCUCAGAGGAUUGAAAAGCUGGGAAGUAUGGAGUAGGUGAUAGUAAAGAAAAACUAUAGCGAAUAUGCAGGUAGGGCUUUAAAAGUGAGUGUUUCCUCAAAGCGUGGUGGAAAUAGACACGUGGACGCUGGCCUUGAACAGCUGAGGGGGCCUCCCAGGCGUCUCCUCAAGGAAGCAGUUAAAUCCAACAUCCUAGAAAGAGAGGGAAAGGAACUCCAACAUGACCCUCGCGUUUUGACAAAGGGACCCCCUGACAACAUGUGACUUAAUUAGGACAAAACUGAAGUAAAGCUCCCACAAGAUUCCUGGGAACUGAGUAGAACUGCUUCACUGGAGGCCAAGGAAUCUGUUUGGAGAGGAUCAGAAACCCGCAUCUGACCCAGCAGGUGAGAAGCCAGAAAUAGUUGCCGGCACCCACCCCCGACCGUCAGAUGCGCUGCCAAGCCCUGGAACUGCGGACAUGAGUGGAACAGGGUUCCCUGCCCUGAAGGACUCUCAGACUAGAGCCAUCACCCGAGUUCCAUGGGCUUCAAAGAAGGCAGACCUGGAUUCCAAAUUCUGCUUCCCCGCUUCCCAGUCGUGA